rnacentral:rRNA from 1 species
GACGAACGCUGGCGGCGUGCUUAACACAUGCAAGUCGAACGCUGAAGCUCAGCUUUUGUUGGGUGGAUGAGUGGCGAACGGGUGAGUAACACGUGAGUAACCUGCCUCCUUCUUUGGGAUAACGCCCGGAAACGGGUGCUAAUACUGGAUAUUCACUGGUCUUCGCAUGGGGGUUGGUGGAAAGGGUUUUUCUGGUGGGGGAUGGGCUCGCGGCCUAUCUGCUUGUUGGUGGGGUGAUGGCCUACCAAGGCUUUGACGGGUAGCCGGCCUGAGAGGGUGACCGGUCACAUUGGGACGGAGAUACGGCCCAGACUCCUACGGGAGGCAGCAGUGGGGAAUAUUGCACAAUGGGCGCAAGCCUGAUGCAGCGACGCCGCGUGAGGGAUGGAGGCCUUCGGGUUGUGAACCUCUUUCGCUCAUGGUCAAGCCGCAACAAUGGUUGUGGUGAGGGUAGUGGGUAAAGAAGCGCCGGCUAACUACGUG